rnacentral:rRNA from 1 species
UACGUAGGGUGCAAGCGUUAAUCGGAAUUACUGGGCGUAAAGCGUGCGCAGGCGGUUUUGUAAGUCUGUCGUGAAAUCUCCCGGCUCAACUGGGAGGGUGCGCCGAAUACUGAGGGACUAGAGUACGGGAGAGGAAAGUGGAAUUCCUGGUGUAGCGGUGAAAUGCGUAGAUAUCAGGAGGAACACCGGUGGUGUAGACGGCUUUCUGGACCGUAACUGACGCUGAGACACGAAAGCGUGGGUAGCAAACAGG